rnacentral:lncRNA from 1 species
UUUUUGAAAGAUUUUCAGACUAUAACAUAGCCUUGCUCCUCAUAUGAUUCUCUCAAACCACUCAAUGUGUAUGGUUCCUUACCAAGGCUUUGAUUUGCCUCUUUUCUUCCUACUUCUAAUAAGGCUUUUUGUAGAGCUGAGGGUAGGGGAUGAAAAAAAAGCAUACUUGUAUUACAUAUUUUGCAAAGUCAAAAACUAGAUCCAAGGAGAAAACAAGUCAUACAAUCAGAUCAAGAUUGAACCUCAUCC